rnacentral:rRNA from 1 species
GACGAACGCUGGCGGCGUGCUUAACACAUGCAAGUCGAACGGUAAGGCCCUUCGGGGUACACGAGUGGCGAACGGGUGAGUAACACGUGGGUGAUCUGCCCUGCACUUCGGGAUAAGCCUGGGAAACUGGGUCUAAUACCGGAUAGGACCACUGCCGGCAUGGGUGGUGGUGGAAAGCUUUUGCGGUGUGGGAUGGGCCCGCGGCCUAUCAGCUUGUUGGUGGGGUGAUGGCCUACCAAGGCGACGACGGGUUGCCGGCCUGAGAGGGUGACCGGCCACACUGGGACUGAGAUACGGCCCAGACUCCUACGGGAGGCAGCAGUGGGGAAUAUUGCACAAUGGGCGCAAGCCUGAUGCAGCGACGCCGCGUGAGGGAUGACGGCCUUCGGGUUGUAAACCUCUUUCAGCACCGACGAAGCGCAAGUGACGGUAGGUGCAGAAGAAGGACCGGCCAACUACGUGCCAGCAGCCGCCGUAA